CCUACGGGAGGCAGCAGUGGGGAAUAUUGCGCAAUGGGCGAAAGCCUGACGCAGCGACGCCGCGUGAGGGAUGAAGGUCUUCGGAUCGUAAACCUCUGUCAGCAGGGAAGAACGGUCACUGUGCUAAUCAGCAGUGAAUUGACGGUACCUGCAAAGGAAGCACCGGCUAACUCCGUGCCAGCAGCCGCGGGAAUACGGAGGGUGCGAGCGUUAAUCGGAAUUACUGGGCGUAAAGCGCUCGUAGGCGGUAUGUCAAGUCAAUGGUGAAAUCCCCGCGCGCAACGUUGGAACUGCCUUUGAAACUGUCAAACUUGAGUGUGUAAGAGGAUAGUGGAAUUCCAGGUGUAGGAGUGAAAUCCGUAGAUAUCUGGAGGAACAUCAGUGGCGAAGGCGACUAUCUGGCACAUAACUGACGCUGAGGAGCGAAAGCGUGGGUAGCAAACAGGAUUAGAUACCCCUGUAGUC
rnacentral:rRNA from 1 species